CCCACCCUGCACCCCCCUCCCAAGAGCCCCCCACACCUCCCCCUGCUGCUGCCACCGCUGCCGCUGCUCCCCCCUCCACAGAACGCAGCUCUUCGCCUUCCUCCGCGGAUCCCGGUGAGGAAGAGGAGGAUGAAGGAGAGCCCAGCACAGCCGAGCUGCGCCGCCGCCGCCUCCAGAAAUUGGGGUCCCCAUCGCCCCCCCCCGCCUCCCUCUGACCCCAAUGAGGACUUUAUUUGGGGGGGGGAGGGGGUCGGGGGGGCACCCACCCCUUCCUCUCAGAUUUUGGGGGCACUCAGAACCCACCUGGAGCCCUUUCUGCCUCCCCCCCCCCCAAAAAAAAA